GAUGAACGCUAGCGAUAGGCUUAAUACAUGCAAGUCGAGGGGCAGCAUGGUCUUAGCUUGCUAAGACUGAUGGCGACCGGCGCACGGGUGCGUAACGCGUAUGCAACUUGCCUCACAGAGGGGGAUAACCCGUCGAAAGACGGACUAAUACCGCGUACACUUGGGAUAGGGCAUCCUGACCCAAGGAAAUGAAAUUCGCUGUGAGAUAGGCAUGCGUCCCAUUAGCUAGUUGGUGAGGUAACGGCUCACCAAGGCGACGAUGGGUAGGGGAACUGAGAGGUUGAACCCCCACACUGGUACGGAGACACGGACCAGACUCCUACGGGAGGCAGCAGUGAGGAAUAUUGGUCAAUGGGCGAGAGCCUGAACCAGCCAAGUCGCGUGAAGGAUGACUGUCUUAUGGAUUGUAAACUUCUUUUAUACGGGAAUAACAAGAGCCACGUGUGGCUCCCUGCAUGUACCGUAUGAAUAAGCAUCGGCUAACUCCGUG
rnacentral:rRNA from 1 species